CCUACGGGUGGCAGCAGUGGGGAAUAUUGGACAAUGGGGGGAACCCUGAACCAGCGACGCCGCGUGAGUGAAGAAGUAUUUCGGUAUGUAAAGCUCUAUCAGCAGGGAAGAAAAUGACGGUACGUGACUAAGAAGCACCGGCUAACUACGUGCCAGCAGCCGCGGUAAUACGUAGGGGGCAAGCGUUAUCCGGAUUUACUGAGUGUAAAGGGAGCGUAGACGGUGCAGCAAGUCUGAUGUGAAAGGCCGGGGCUCAACCCCGGGACUGCAUUGGAUACUGUGGAACUGGAGUAGAGUAGAGGUAAGCGGAAUGCCUAGUGUAGCGGUGAAAUGCGUAGAUAUUAGGAGGAACACCAGUGGCGAAGGCGGCUUACUGAACUGUAACUGACGUUGAGGCUCGAAAGCGUGGGGAGCAAACAGGAUUAGAUACCCCAGUAGUC
rnacentral:rRNA from 1 species